rnacentral:rRNA from 1 species
GACGAACGCUGGCGGCGUGCUUAACACAUGCAAGUCGAACGGAAAGGCCCUGCUUUUGUGGGGUGCUCGAGUGGCGAACGGGUGAGUAACACGUGAGUAACCUGCCCUUGACUUUGGGAUAACUUCAGGAAACUGGGGCUAAUACCGGAUAGGAGCUCCUGCUGCAUGGUGGGGGUUGGAAAGUUUCGGCGGUUGGGGAUGGACUCGCGGCUUAUCAGCUUGUUGGUGGGGUAGUGGCUUACCAAGGCUUUGACGGGUAGCCGGCCUGAGAGGGUGACCGGCCACAUUGGGACUGAGACACGGCCCCGACUCCUACGGGAGGGAGCAGGGGGGAAUAGUGCACAAGGGGCGGAAGCCUGAUGCAGCAACGCCGCGUGCGGGAUGACGGCCUUCGGGUUGUAAACCGCUUUCGCCUGUGACGAAGCGUGAGUGACGGUAAUGGGUAAAGAAGCACCGGCUAACUACGU